GUGAAUCAUCAAAUUUUUGAACGCAAAUUGCACUCUCUGGUAUUCCGGGGAGUAUGCCUGUUUGAGGGUCAGUUUAAAUAAAAAUCGGUGUGGCUGGUGCAUUUCGUGGUGCCGCACUGGAGUUGGGUAGUCUUGCCUUCGGUUAUGGUACUUGAAAUUUUGAAUGACUUUUUAGAACGUAUUUA
rnacentral:misc_RNA from 1 species